AACGAACGCUGGCGGCAGGCUUAACACAUGCAAGUCGAGCGCCCCGCAAGGGGAGCGGCAGACGGGUGAGUAACGCGUGGGAAUCUACCCAUCUCUACGGAAUAACGCAUGGAAACGUGUGCUAAUACCGUAUACGUCCUUCGGGAGAAAGAUUUAUCGGAGAUGGAUGAGCCCGCUUUGGAUUAGCUAGUUGGUGGGGUAAAGGCCUACCAAGGCGACGAUCCAUAGCUGGUCUGAGAGGAUGAUCAGCCACACUGGGACUGAGACACGGCCCAGACUACUACGGGAGGCAGCAGUGGGGAAUAUUGGACAAUGGGCGCAAGCCUGAUCCAGCCAUGCCCCGUGAGUGAUGAAGGCCCUAGGGUUGUAAAGCUCUUUCACCGGUGAAGAUAAUGACGGUAACCGGAGAAGAAGCCCCGGCUAACUUCGUGCCAGCAGCCGCAGUAAUAC
rnacentral:rRNA from 1 species